rnacentral:rRNA from 1 species
GACGAACGCUGGCGGCGUGCCUAAUACAUGCAAGUAGAACGCUGAAGGAGGAGCUUGCUUCUCUGGAUGAGUUGCGAACGGGUGAGUAACGCGUAGGUAACCUGCCUGGUAGCGGGGGAUAACUAUUGGAAACGAUAGCUAAUACCGCAUAACAGUAGAUAUCGCAUGAUAUCUACUUGAAAGGUGCAAUUGCAUCACUACCAGAUGGACCUGCGUUGUAUUAGCUAGUUGGUGAGGUAACGGCUCACCAAGGCGACGAUACAUAGCCGACCUGAGAGGGGGAGCGGCCACCGGGGGAGGGGAACCCGCCCCGGCCUCCUGGGGGGGGCAGCAGUGGGGAAUCUUGGGAAAGGGAGGGAGGUCGGACCGGGAACCGCGGCGGGGUGGAAGAGGGUUGUCGGAUAGAAAGGCUUGGUUGAAAGAGAAGAAGGGGUGGGAGAGUGAAAAGUCCACACUGGGAGGGUUUCUAAAAAGAAAGGGACGGCUAACUACGUG